GGGUCGUUAGCUCAGUUGGUAGAGCAGUUGACUUUUAAUCAAUUGGUCGCAGGUUCGAAUGCUGCACGACCCACCA
rnacentral:tRNA from 1 species